AUCCUUAAGCUGCCUACAGCUCGAGGAGUCAGUUGAAUCUCUGAAAACCCGCUGCUGCAUUUGGACGUUGCAAACAGACAAUCAGAGCAUUCAGGCAGAGAACUCCGGCUUAAGCCUGCAAAUUUGGAUGGGGCACAUGUAUACCUACUUAUCUGUGUGAUCCUUCAGCAAGAAACCAGAAAGUCUCUAGUCUCUGCCAGUUCAUCAGCAAUAUGAAGGGGCUGAUAGAGAUGAUCUCUUGACCCCCAGUGAACGCUGACCACCCCAUGGUUCUGCUCCAUCCUCACCCUGUGAGGCUGUUGACAGCUCUUAGCAAGCUCGCCUUGUGCCCAGCUCUGCAGAAUGGCCUGGAGUCUGCCAUGUUAAGCUUGAAAUGCCUAAAGCAUCUGCUAGCCAAGUGCUGCUGGUCCAAUUGCUGUGAUUUUGCAAAGUCUGAUCCAGAGUGCCUCACGACUGCGAGAAACCCUGGGCAAGAACUUCAUCUUUAACAGCGCGCACUGCGCUUGGCAGGAGAUGUUUGCCCUUGCUUCAGCUCCAGCAGCCUUUGCUCAUGUGCACACAAUCUCCAGGGACCUCUCUUUCAGACUUGAUGGCUGAUGGCCAUGUGAAGGCAGUCCCAUGGGGGAGCACCACAUGAAUGAUGCUGGCAUGAUAAAAGAACACUGAGGACCAGCAACCAUCAGAAGCUGGAGGAGAAUACGGUGAACAUCUUUCCGUGUCAUUAAAGUUUCUGCUACAAUGUCCAAGAUGAAAUUUUAUUUCUAGUCUGGAGGUAUGGCCGAAUUUUGUGUCCUAUGAAU